ensembl:snRNA U6 U6 spliceosomal RNA
GUGCUCACUUUGGCAGCACCGUAGUGAACGUGGAAUGAGACAGAGAAGAUUAGCAUGGCCCCUAUGCAAGGAUGACACGCAAACCCAGGAAGUGUUCCAUAUUUUC